UACGGAGGAUGCGAGCGUUAUCCGGAUUUAUUGGGUUUAAAGGGUGCGUAGGCGGAUUGUUAAGUCAGCGGUGAAAGUUUUCGGCUCAACCGGAAAAUUGCCGUUGAAACUGGCGAUCUUGAGUGUAAAUGAGGUAGGCGGAAUGCGUGGUGUAGCGGUGAAAUGCUUAGAUAUCACGCAGAACUCCAAUUGCGAAGGCAGCUUACUGGGAUACAACUGACGCUGAGGCACGAAAGCGUGGGGAUCAAACAGG
rnacentral:rRNA from 1 species